AAGUGCAUGUCUGCUCAGUGUGAGUUUUCUUCUUUUUCUUCAAAGAAGCAUAAUAGUUGUUGAUUUAUAGCUAGUUAUUUUAAUUUCCCUAUGCUGCAAAACUAAAAGAGAAGCUGACCUCUGAUGAGCGGCUACCAGUGGUUUCCUCUGCUACGUAGUGGAGGUUUGCAACCGGCUGUUGAAGGGAAGGAAGAGAUUUAACAAUUGGAUCUAGUCUGCAGGAGGUGCUCAGAAAGUGUUAGUGGAUCCUGCUGAACUGGAGUUGUGAUUGUCUGGUUGGCUUUCAGUGCAUGAUCAGGUCAGCAGAAACAAGCUCAAAUCCUUCCUUGCCUUGUGAAUCUUUUUCUCUGGCUGGAGUUUCCACAUCUGCACUUCUGCAACAUGUUGUGCCAAGUCCUGUGCACUCUGCUCUGCACUGACCUCAGCUGGAUGGCUCCUGUGAGUGAGAUGAACGCAUUUUGGCCCACUGCCAGCACAAAAGCUAAUAGCUAGUCACUAUAUCUGGACUUCAGUUUUGUUGCUGUUUCAGAGUACCUUGCUUCGGCUGCCAAACUCAGAGUGUCUGAAAUCUAUCUAUUUUGUAAAAGUAGGCAGUCCUGAAGACUGCCAUGAUAGUUAUCCCAGAAAAUGUUCCAUAUUACGCAAAGGCCAAUGAUUCCAUGACUUCUGUUGUGGGCGCUCUUUCAAAAUAUGUUUUCUAUUUCAUAAAGAUUGUUUCCUAAGAAAGCUUUUAGUGACAUGUUUAUUCAUGUUGGUCAAAUGAAAGUCAUGUGGCACACCUCCCUUUCUGGUGUGGCGAGCCGCACAGUGUUUGAUAUAAUCCUACUAUCUUGUGUGAAAAAACAGCUGAGUGUCAGAUGUGUCUGGUUUGCAUGUCAGUGAAACAGAAGGCAUGUUACACAAGUCACCGCACUCCGCAGUCUAUUUUUAUUUUGGAAGAACCUCCCUUUAACUUUUUCCACUCACUUCUCUUAGGCAUAGGGUGAAUCCAGGGCUUUCCUUGAGGUACUGAUAUAAAAAGAAAACAGAGGCACCAGGAAAGAUGCUUAAGUAGAUGCUUAGACAUAUGCAGGCUCUGACUUGUCAUGUGGCUUCCCUUGUUCCUGGGAUUAGCCAUACUGACUGAUUAUCUGGUUUUAUACUCUGUAGAUGUAUGAAUGUGAUUACUGUAAGGGAAUAUUCAACUGUUAGAGUUCUCUUGUAUGUGAAAGUCAAAGAUCAAGUAAAAUAAAGAAAUGCCAUGUGUU
rnacentral:lncRNA from 7 species